rnacentral:sRNA from 1 species
UGGUCUAUUAUUGGUGAAGAUUAGCAUG